rnacentral:rRNA from 1 species
UACGUAGGGUGCGAGCGUUAAUCGGAAUUACUGGGCGUAAAGCGUGCGCAGGCGGCUUGUUAAGCAAGAUGUGAAAUCCCCGGGCUCAACCUGGGAAUGGCAUUUUGAACUGGCAGGCUCGAGUUCUGAAGAGGGUGGUAGAAUUUCCAGUGUAGCGGUGAAAUGCGUAGAUAUCGGGAGGAACACCAGUAGCGAAGGCGGCCAUCUGGCUGGUAACUGACGCUGAGGUGCGAGAGCGUGGGGAGCAAACAGG